CAAAGAGGUGGCGAAGAAAGCACUAGAAGGCAAAGGAGAAGUGGAGAGAAGAAGAAACAAAUGGAGGAAGAAGGAGAAAGGGAAAAAGCAGACGGAAAAAGUGAAGUAGUACGAGGGCGUCCCAGCGGGGCGGCCCGAGAAGCUCCAGCUUCUUCCCGAGCGGCCGCCGCUAUCCCCCGGGGGGGCGUCUGGCCCCACUCCGGACCACGCCCGAGCGAUCCUGGUCGCCGACUGCCACAGCCGUGCUUCCCGGCGCGGGAUCCAAGCCGCGGAGCCACCUGUUAGGCGCGCGCCGUCGGAAGCCCAGGCGCGGCGGCGCUGGAGAAUCCUCUCGAAGUUUCCGGGUGCGCGGGGAGGCCCCAGGUGCGCCCCGACAUCCCGACACGGCCCAGCACGGCUGGAAGAUACUCACCAAACAAACAAACAAUGAAUCUUGAUGGUUUGGAGGCAACAGAGAGGGAGAGGCCUUGCAAAAAUUCAGAUCCGCACAUGCAACAUCUCUUGGCAGAUGUUGGCCAAAACUUUGUGGCCAGGCUGGUAUCCUGAUUACAGAUCAACCACCUGGAUGCCAAACAGUGUACCUGUGGGAACUUUUGCAAGAUGUGCUCUCUACUCCCAAUGAUUUGGCCUGGAAUUAGAAAUGUGAACUCCACUUUGAGAAUUUUGCAGGUGUCUGGGAAGCGUUGGGUCCCGUACAAAACCAUUCUCAUAUCUUCAACACAGAUUUAUCUUUUACUUAUGCAGAGAUGAUAAUGGGCUGCCAUUCGCUCCUUCAACUUCCUUUGACUAUUGAAAGAAAUAGAUCUACUAUAGAGUUUGUUGAGAAUCUUUGUAGUCCAAGUUCAAGUAAAAACACAUUAUAUC
rnacentral:lncRNA from 1 species